UGAUCAAUGAUGAUUCCCAAAGAUUCCCUGGAAAUCUGAACAAAAUAAUUGAUUACUUAGUACUACCACUCUCGUCUGGGCUAAGAUUU